GCCCAGUGCCCCACAAUCCAAAACCCAGGCCCAGUGCCCCACAAUCCAAAACCCAGGCCCAGUGCCCCACAAUCCAAAACACAGGCCCAGUGCCCCACAAUCCAAAACCCAGGCCCAGUGCCCCACAAUCCAAAACACAGGCCCAGUGCCCCACAAUCCAAAACCCAGGCCCAGUGCCCCAUAAUCCAAAACCCAGGCCCAGUGCCCCAUAAUCCAAAACCCCGGCCCAGUGCACCACGCCGCAAAACCCAGGCCCAGUGCCCCACAAUCCAAAACACAGGCCCAGUGCCCCACAAUCCAAAACACAGGCCCAGUGCCCCACAUCCCAAAAUACAGGCCCAGUGCCCCACACUGUAGUAGCCUAGCUACAAUUAAACUGUUACUCAUACUGUAUAAUUAAUAUGUGUGCAUACUAAUACUAAAUCCAUACUAAUACAACAUUUAUACUAAUCUUAAACCCAUACCGAUGCUAAAUCCAUACCGAUACUAAACCCAUACCGAUGCUAAAUCCAUACUAAUACUAAACCCAUACCGAUACUAAACCCCUACUAAUACUAAACCCAUACCGAUGCUAAAUCCCUACCAAUACUAAACCCAUACCGAUGCUAAAUCCAUACUAAUACUAAACCCAUACCGAUACUAAACCCCUACUAAUACUAAACCCAUACCGAUACUAAACCCCUACUAAUACUAAACCCAUACCGAUACUAAACCCCUACUAAUACUAAACCCAUACCGAUGCUAAAUCCAUACCGAUACUAAACCCCUACUAAUACUAAACCCAUACCGAUGCUAAAUCCAUACAAAUACUAAACCCAUACCGAUGCUAAAUCCAUACCGAUACUAAACCCCUACUAAUACUAAACCCAUACCGAUGCUAAAUCCAUACAAAUACUAAACCCAUACCGAUGCUAAAUCCAUACAAAUACUAAACCCAUAGCGAUGCUAAAUCCAUACCAAUACUAAACCCAUACCGAUACUAAACCCCUACUAAUACUAAACCCAUACCGAUGCUAAAUCCAUACAAAUACUAAAUCCAUACCGAUACUAAACCCCUACUAAUACUAAACCCAUACCGAUGCUAAAUCCAUACAAAUACUAAACCCAUACCGAUGCUAAAUCCAUACCGAUACUAAACCCCUACUAAUACUAAACCCAUACCGAUGCUAAAUCCAUACAAAUACUAAACCCAUACAGAUGCUAAAUCCAUACCGAUACUAAACCCCUACUAAUACUAAACCCAUACCGAUGCUAAAUCCAUACAAAUACUAAACCCAUACCGAUGCUAAAUCCAUACCGAUACUAAACCCCUACUAAUACUAAACCCAUACCGAUGCUAAAUCCAUACCAAUACUAAACCCAUACCGAUGCUAAAUCCAUACCAAUACUAAACCCCUACUAAUACUAAACCCAUACCGAUGCUAAAUCCAUACAAAUACUAAACCCAUACCAAUGCUAAACCCCUACUAAUACUAAACCCAUACCGAUGCUAAAUCCAUACCGAUACUAAACCCCUACUAAUACUAAACCCAUACGAUACUAAACCCCUACUAAUACUAAACCCAUACCGAUACUAAACCCCUACUAAUACUAAACCCAUACCGAUACUAAACCCCUACUAAUACUAAACCCAUACCGAUACUAAACCCCUACUAAUACUAAACCCAUACCGAUACUAAACCCCUACUAAUACUAAACCCAUACCGAUGCUAAAUCCAUACUAAUACUAUACUAAUACUAACGCCAUACUAAUACUAAACCCCUACUGAUACUAAACCCCUACUAAUACUAAACCCACACUAAGUCUAUUCUGGGAUUGUUGAGAAGUAGACUGUUUUGAACAGGGUUUAAUAUUUAUUUCCAUGGACCAUCAAUUUGUAAUAGUUCCUAUUAUGCAAUUGUUUCUAGUCACCAACAGAUAGCAGUAUAUCACCACAACCUCUAACCAACUAACUUACUAUUCAUCACUACCUUACAAGUUCUACUCAAUAAUACGUGUUUCACUACUUAUUUACUAUAUACAUGUCAGGACUGAUGAUGUUGAC
rnacentral:lncRNA from 1 species